UACGUAGGGCGCAAGCGUUAUCCGGAAUUAUUGGGCGUAAAGAGCUCGUAGGCGGUUUGUCGCGUCUGCCGUGAAAGUCCAGGGCUCAACCCUGGGAUGCCGGUCGAUACUGCCCGGACUAGAGUUCGGAAGAGGCGAGUGGAAUUCCCGGUGUAGCGGUGAAAUGCGCAGAUAUCGGGAGGAACACCUAUGGCGAAGGCAGCUCGCUGGACGUACUGACGCUGAGACGCGAAAGCGUGGGAGCAACAG
rnacentral:rRNA from 1 species